AGGGUACUACAACCGCGCGGAUAAGGUCAAAAUAUGUCUUUGGCAUAUACCUUUAAUGGCGAGUCUUAGUUAAAUU
rfam:Turicibacter sp. H121, complete genome.